rnacentral:rRNA from 1 species
AGCGAACGCUGGCGGCAGGCCUAACACAUGCAAGUCGAACGCCGUAGCAAUACGGAGUGGCAGACGGGUGAGUAACACGUGGGGAUCUGCCCGAUGGUACGGAAUAAUUCCGGGAAACUGGGACUAAUACCGUAUGAGCCCGCAAGGGGAAAGAUUUAUCGCCAUCGGAUGAACCCGCGUCAGAUUAGCUAGUUGGCGGGGUAAAGGCCCACCAAGGCGACGAUCUGUAGCUGGUCUGAGAGGAUGAUCAGCCACACUGGGACUGAGACACGGCCCAGACUCCUACGGGAGGCAGCAGUGGGGAAUAUUGGACAAUGGGCGCAAGCCUGAUCCAGCCAUGCCGCGUGAGUGAUGAAGGCCUUAGGGUUGUAAAGCUCUUUCGCCGACGAAGAUAAUGACGGUAGUCGGAGAAGAAGCCCCGGCUAACUUCGUGCCAGCAGCCGCCGUAA